GUUAUUUAAGUCUGGAGUGAUGGGGAAUGCUGUGAGCCACCCACCCGUUCCAGCCCCAGGAGAUUUUGCUCAUUCUUGGCAGCUUGGCAGGGCAGAAUGGGCUGGCUGUAGGACCCCAAAGGAAGGAGCGCGACGAGCCACCAGAUGUGUGACCUCCUCACCCUGCUGGCAGCGCUGAACGUCCUUUCCUGUAAACUUCUCUGAGGACUUCUAAAUCAACAGAGGACUGCAAAGCCUUGGAGAGAGGGUUCUCAUCUUUCCCUUUACUGAGUGCUAUGCUAUACCCUGGCCAGGCCAUGCUCUGCGAAGCCCCUGGACAAGCUCUUCCCAGCAGGAGCAGCACCAAGUGCAGAUAGAAAACACUUCUGAAGUCGUGCAUCCCAUCUGAUGUUUAAAUGCAAAGAACCUAGGAAGGAUAGUCCUGGAUUACUGCUGCUUACAAGGAAGUGUACUUCUACGGAGGUCCAAAAGCCCUUCUGUACUCGGAAGCUGGGAUGGUUUGGCUUUGCUCUCCUUUAGCACUGAUGCAGCUUCAUUACCACCCAACAGGAAGUGAUGGUUACACUGCUGUCAAACUGGUGGAAAUAACAGGAUUAUCUUUGACUAACCAUGGGGUUUCCCACCUCAGGAACUGGAACAUCCUGAAAUCAUUCUGCUCCCAGACACGUCUUCUUUUUUUCCGUUUAGAUUAAAUAAUAUAUUUAGGGCCUCUGAAUGGCCUUAUGGUCUUCUGAGUGUGAAGCCUGCAAAAACAAGUGGGAAGGAAAAAGGCAGGUGGAGGAAAGGCUCAGCGAGAAGGCAAAGCCCUACCAGCCAAACCCAACUUCUCUUCAACUUACGCAAAGGUAUUUGUCCAUCAAGAGAAAGGUGGGACCCUGGAAAGUCAUUCUAACCAACAUUUUGAAAGUCUAUAAAUUCUGGAGGGACCAGGAAGAGUGCAAACAUUUUGUAAUUAGGGGCAAAACCCUGAGUGCUCCUACAAGUGCACUACAAGAGCACUACAAGUACUGAUAGUGAAGCCUCACUUCACUAUCAGUCCUUGGGGCUCCCUGCCUCUCCCAGCCCCCCCAGCCCAUGUGUGGGAUGCAUUGUGGCUCCCCCAUCUUCUCAACAUAUUUUGCUAUACUGAGCCUUUGUUAAUAUCACUUUUUGUUGACGUAUCUGUAUGGAAAACAGAAAAAUCCACUUUGUUGGAUUUGCUUUUGGUCUGAUUCCCUAAAUUCUACAAGGUGUUACAAAAUCCUGAACAUCUUUCAUUUCAGGUUAAUUGAAGUAACUGAUACAAUAGAACGCAAUUUAUUCUCUUUCAAAUGGAACGGUGGAAAACAGGCAUUAUUUUAUGUCCGCCCUCAGUUUGUCUCAGGAAUAUUUUUGCCAAUGGUAUGAGUUGGUUUACGUUCAAAUUUUUCAAUUAUUCUUUUACUUCUUUUUAAAAUGGUCACUUCUCUGGUGUGCAGAUCAAACAUUAAUGAAGUUUGAAAGGUCUUUUUUUUGAGCAACAUAAAACUUAAUAAAAUAAUUUUGCAUUUUACAGCUUUGGUGAGGAAAAGGUGUUAAUUAAGAGUACCAUGGCAAGAAAACUGCUUUCUGGCUCUGCUUACAAACUGGCUUAUUCUUGUAAAUAAUCAGUCCCACCUAAUUACCAGGCCAUAUUGUAUUUACUAGCAACAGUCAAGCAUUCCCAGACCUCAUAGUUUUAAGUCUGUGAAAUGCUUGCACAUUAUGAUCUCACCUCAUGAUACAGAAUCUCCAUUCAAGUUUAUACAUGACGUGGAAAGUCUCCGAGAUGUACUCCGAGGUGUAAAAUUAGUGUAAUUCCACUGGAAUGAAGGAGACGUGCCAAUUUGUAUCAAGUGAAGCUAUGGGCCACAAUGUCUCAAAGACAUUUGCUUUUGUCUGGCAAACAAGCAAGCAAAGUUCUUCAUUUUAAUGGAAAAUAAUGGGUAAGUUUGUCCUUGGUAAUGUACUGAAGCAGAUCAAAGAUGGAACUGCCUUACAAGGCUCUAUUUCACUAACAGACAAUUAAUACGAUAGUAUCAGGGAAAUGAAUAGCUACUCUGUGCCUCGGUGUUUCCCCUUAUGGACUGUAAAACUGCUCAGUUUAUCAUUUUCUGUCUUUAGGCAAAAAAGGUAACUCUUAUUUGCAUGUUUGUCAGUUUGUACUUGAGAGUACAAAAUUUACUUAAAAACAAGCUCAGCAAGCUAAAUGGAAUGCCAGUGGUCUUAUUAUCCCAAGAGAGCAAAGCACUUAAGCCCGUGAUUAAAAUGAAGUUAAUUGAAUUUAAACAUGCACUUACAGUAAAGCAUAGAACUAAAUACUUCUCUGAAUAGGAAAGAGAUUAUUCUCACACUUAAAUGUAAGCACUAAUAAUAGUUUUGCUAACAUUGAGGUUUAUAGCCUUCUCUCCGCAGUUCCAACUAUCCCACCAAUAAAACCUGGCACCAACAUCAGAGCUUUUCUAAGAAAUUCGUAUCGGAGAAUGAAGAUCAAGGUGUUGCUUAUACAAUAAAUUGGCAGAGCACAUUUGCAAAAAGAACACAUUAAAUUCUGGGUGUGAUGAGUUAUGUAUAAUAAAGGCAGGAAAGAGCUUAUUUCACAUUGAAUUGUGUGGCUUUCUCAGAAACACAGCCCUGGUUAUAGAGAGUGAAAACACCUAGCUGUUCUAUGAAAUCCCCAAACGUCGGUGUUCAGGGUGUAGUCAGAACUUCACUGCAAAUGCAACCCAGUGUUUUUGCACUUGAGAACACCAUGACCAGGUUUUUGUUUGGGAUUCAAAACUGGGGGUCAAAUUAGCAAUUCCGCUUCUGCUAUUGCCUCUGGGACAUCUGACUGAUUCGAGACAGAUGGUAUUUUCUUGAUGAAUUUAAUUUUCUUUGCAUUUAUAAUAGGAAUAAAAACACUUUCCUCUCAGCAAGCGUAAUAAUUAAAUAUUCAUUAAUUACGUUGCUGUCCUCUUGAGCUGGACCCAAGAAACACACCCAAGAAAAAAGAGACACAGUUCUGUCCCACAGGCAAAUACAAAUUUGUCAAAAUACAUUUGUUUCUAUUACAGGUUUAGAGAAGGAUGAGAAUGGGCAAAUGGGAAAGUUCAGUUGCAAUCCCCAGUCUCAUCCCUGUCAAAACAGAAAGGUUGAAAAUGGCUUUUCCCUUAAGCGGAGCUCAUCUGUACUGUGGCUGUAAGGGAUAUUUUUUCCCCCGUCAUAAUCAAACUUUCUGAUUGCAAAGGGAUCCUCUUCCUUGCCACCGUUUUUCCCUUCACGGAAAAUGUUAACAAAGAAGCCAGGUUAGCAGAACCAUCUGCUUUGAAUGGCAGUUUCUUGUUCUUGCACAGCUUUCGUACUGCUGGAAGAGAGAAGGACCAGAGGCACGUUUCAAAACACAGUGUUCUUUGUUGUACAUAAUGAUAUAAAACUGUGGAU
rnacentral:lncRNA from 1 species